UUCAUCAAAAGUCAACUUUCCUCUGCUACUUUAUCUAGUUAUUGCUGACCAGAUCAAAGCCUUCUCACUGGAUGCUCAAUGACCAAGAUCUGACUACAUCUAUCCAAACAGGAAACAUGGAACUUCCUAAUAGCUCCAAUGAUAAAAGUCCCAAUCCAUGAAAAGAUGAGAUCUACACAGGAAAAUGAUGUGCAAAGAGGAGCCGCAUAGAAGUAGGAAGAAUUUGCAUAACUGAUAGAAAUGUUAGCAUAAGGUGUGAUGCUUCAGAGUGAAAACAAGGAGGCCCUUGGCAGAGAGUCACUGGAAGAGUGGUCA
rnacentral:lncRNA from 1 species